rnacentral:rRNA from 1 species
UAGGGAAUCUUCCGCAAUGGACGCAAGUCUGACGGAGCAACGCCGCGUGAGUGAAGAAGGAUUUCGGUUCGUAAAACUCUGUUGUUAGAGAAGAACAGCGCAUAGAGUAACUGUUAUGCGUGUGACGGUAUCUAACCAGAAAGCCACGGCUAACUACGUGCCAGCAGCCGCGGUAAUACGUAGGUGGCAAGCGUUGUCCGGAUUUAGUGGGCGUAAAGCGAGCGCAGGCGGUCAAUUAAGUCUGAUGUGAAAGCCCCCGGCUCAACCGAGGAGGGUCAUUGGAAACUGGUUGACUUGAGAGCAGAAGAGGAGGGUGGAAUUCCAUGUGUAGCGGUGAAAUGCGUAGAUAUAUGGAGGAACGCCAGUGGCGAAGGCGAAUCUGUGGUCUGUAAAUGACGAGGGGGCACGAAAGCGUGGGUAGCAAAGAGG